GCGACCCCAGGUCAGGCAGG
rnacentral:rRNA from 1 species